UACCACGUUGAUAGGCUGGAGGUGUAAGUGCAGUAAUGUAUUCAGCUGACCAGUACUAAUAGGCCGUGCGGCUUGACCCUUAC
rnacentral:rRNA from 1 species